rnacentral:lncRNA from 1 species
UGUGGCUGAUAAAACCAACUCAACUGGAAAAGAGCUCUUUGAGCCUGGCCUUGUAGACAAACUUUAAGUCUUUACUGUGGAACCAUCCAAGAUGACUAGCCUUUUCAAGUGGCAUAAGCCUAGAGGGAUUAGAACCACAACAAGAGGCCCAAGAACAGAGAUUCAAGACAAUGAGAGCCUUAGUUUUUGCAAAAAGAGUGAAGUGGUCCUCACAGCCCUUUGACCAGGAAGGAAAGGGCAAGAAUAAUGGGAGUACUAAUAAAGAAGAGUCUGUCUUAUAGAUUUUGAGAAUGGAGAAAGGAUUCAGUGUUUGGUGAGUGUCCUCUUCCUGUGUCCUCAGUUGGAGAAAGGGAUAUUUGGCUCUCUGGGAUCUUCAUAAAG